GUCUUAUUAUGAUGAGAUUCAACUACUUGCAGCAUAUGCGAUUAUGAUGAACAGCUCCCACGAACAACGAUUCCACGGCGCAUCAUUCCUAGCAAUAAUCAGAUCUUCAACGGUCAGUUAUGCAUGUACGACAUCUCCGCGAUGGACAUGCUCUCCAUGCAACACUCAUACCACUACGAACGGCUCUACAUGAGGCUUUUAGGACCUUCGAUAAGUUUUACAGCAUUAAUCUGCAAGAAAUUGUGUUCUUUGGGACUCAAACCCGAGCUUGGUGUAGAAGUAUUAAUGAACCUUUAGUCAUCCAUUGGAACAAAGAGACUUUGACAAUUUUAGUUUUUUUAAAAUUUAUUUAUAUUGAUUUCUUCUUGGAGUUUUGAAUUAUUUUUAUUUAUCGUAUAUCAUCGUGCUUAGAUUAAUAUAGAUUUUUAUAUCAAGAUUUCUAAACAUUACUCAUAUAAGUA
rnacentral:lncRNA from 1 species